rnacentral:rRNA from 1 species
UACAGAGGGGGCAAGCGUUAUUCGGAAUUAUUGGGCGUAAAGGGCGCGUAGGCGGCUUCGCAAGUGGAAGGUGAAAUCCCUCGGCUUAACCGAGGAACUGCCCCUCCAAACUGCGUGGCUUGAGUCCGGGAGAGGUGAGUGGAAUUCCCAGUGUAGCGGUGAAAUGCGUAGAUAUUGGGAGGAACACCCAGUGGCGAAGGCGGCUCACUGGACCGGAACUGACGCUGAGGCGCGAAAGCGUGGGAGCAAACGGG